UGGCUUAGUUGGUAAGGCAAUCGUUUUGCAUACAAGAGUCGUGGGUUUGAAUCCCAC
rnacentral:tRNA from 1 species